GAGUUUGAUCCUGGCUCAGGAUGAACGCUGGCGGCGUGGAUAAGGCAUGCAAGUCGAGUGGGUUUAGACCCACGGCAGACGAGGUAGGAACACGUAGGUAUCUACCCUCAAGUCGGAGAUAACCCAUCGAAAGGUGGAGUAAUAUUCGAUAGUCCCUCCGGGGUAAAGUCGUAAGACGCUUGAGGAAGAGCCUGCGGGCUAUCAGCUAGUUGGUAGGGUAAUGGCCUACCAAGGCGAUGACGGCUAGGGGAGCUGAGAGGCUGACCCCCACCGAUGGAACUGAGACACGGUCCAUACUCCUACGGGAGGCCGCAGUCGAGAAUCUUCCGCAAUGGGCGAAAGCCUGACGGAGCGACGCCGCGUGAUGGAUGAAGCACUUCGGUGCGUAAACAUCUUUUGUAGGGGAAGAAGCCAGCAAUGGUUUGACUGUACCCUAAGAAUAAGGGGUUGCUAAACUCGUGCCAGCAGCAGCGGUAAUACGAGUGCCCCAAGCGUUAUCCGGAAUUACUGGGCGUAAAGGGUGUGUAGGUGGUUUGGUUAGUCUGUCGUUAAAACUCCCGGCUUAACCGGGAAGGUGCGAUGGAAACGGCCAAACUCGAGAGGGUGAGAGGCAUAUGGAACUCAUGGUGUAGGGGUGAAAUCCGUUGAUAUCAUGGGGAACGCCAAAGGUGAAGACAGUAUGCUAGCACCUAUCUGACACUGAAACACGAAAGCGUGGGGAUCGAAUGGGAUUAGAUACCCCAGUAGUCCACGCCCUAAACGAUGAUCACUGGCUUUUCGGAGUAUCGACCCUCUGAGAG
rnacentral:rRNA from 1 species